GAUGAAGAACGUAGCGAAAUGCGAUAAGUAAUGUGAAUUGUAGAAUUCAGUGAAUCAUCGAAUCUUUGAACGCACCUUGCGCUCCUUGGUAUUCCGAGGAGCAUGCCUGUUUGAGUGUCAUUAAUAUAUCAACCUCUUCAGCUUAUGCUUGUUGAGUGUUGGAUGGUGGGGGUUUGCUGGUGUCUUAUGAAGUCAGCUCCUCUGAAAUGCAUUAGCGGAACAAUUUGUUGACCGUUCAUUGGUGUGAUAAAAAUAUCUACGCUAUUGACGUCAGUCAGUUCAGCUUCUAACAGUCCAUUGACUUGGACAAAUUUUUCAUUAAUGUGACCUCAAAUCAGGUAGGACUACCCGCUGAACUUAAGCAUAUCAAUAAGCGGAGGA
rnacentral:misc_RNA from 1 species